AUUGAACGCUGGCGGCAUGCUUUACACAUGCAAGUCGAACGGCAGCGCGGACUUCGGUCUGGCGGCGAGUGGCGAACGGGUGAGUAAGACAUCGGAACGUGCCUGAAAGUGGGGGACAACCAGUCGAAAGAUUGGCUAAUACCGCAUACGAUCUACGGAUGAAAGAGGGGGACCUUAGGGCCUCUUGCUUUUAGAGCGGCCGAUGGCUGAUUAGCUAGUUGGUGGGGUAAAGGCCUACCAAGGCGACGAUCAGUAGCUGGUCUGAGAGGACGAUCAGCCACACUGGGACUGAGACACGGCCCAGACUCCUACGGGAGGCAGCAGUGGGGAAUUUUGGACAAUGGGGGCAACCCUGAUCCAGCAAAGCCGCGUGAGUGAAGAAGGCCUUCGGGUUGUAAAGCUCUUUUGUCAGGGAAGAAACGGUUGAUGCUAAUACCACGAACUAAUGACGGUACCUGAAGAAUAAGCACCGGCUAACUACGUGCCAGCAGCCGCAGUAAAAC
rnacentral:rRNA from 1 species